UACGUAGGUGGCAAGCGUUAUCCGGAAUAACUGGGCGUAAAGAGAGCGUAGGCGGUUUUGUAAGUUGAAGGUGAAAGCCCGGGGCUUAACCCCGGAAUUGCCUUCAAAACUACAAAACUAGAGUGUGGGAGAGGAAGAUGGAAUUCCAAGUGUAGCAGUGAAAUGCGUAGAUACUUGGAGGAACAUCAGCGGCGAAGGCGAUCUUCUGGAACAUAACUGACGCUGAGGCUCGAAAGCGUGGGGAGCAAAC
rnacentral:rRNA from 1 species